GGUUAUGGCUCAGGGGUAGAGCACUCGCCUAGCACAUGUGAGGUCCUGGGUUCAAUCCUCAGCACCA
rnacentral:tRNA from 1 species